UUACUACAGGUGUGGGGGCAGGGAGCCAUGCUCCUGACUGGUUCCCUUGGACUUUGAUGGAUUCAGGUUUGAGUCUGGACAAGGACUAGAAGCAGACAAAACUUCAAAAACAGAGAACAGGGAAAAUGGAUUCUCCCCAGGUGAAAUGGGUGAGACCCUGAGGACACCUACAGGUCCCACUGAGAACAGGGCAGCUUUCUUCCCUAACUGGCGCCAGUCACUGAGGAAAUCUUUCGGAGCAAGAGGGGACUUGGAGCCCCAGCAUUUUCCCUUUCCCGGCCGGCUGAGGGCCAGGAGAUGCUGCCCGGCCUGGCGGAAGUGAGCUCAUCCAGGACAGCCCGUGACCCACCAUGUGGGCAGGAGAAGCCCGUGAAGGGAUGAAGACUGUGGGGUGGGCUCUCCAGCCCAGGGCCCCGCAGCUCCAAGGGGCGACCGGCACCCAGGGCGGCCCCGCUACGGGCUCCGCUCACUCACCAGCAGGUAGUCCGGUCUCGCUGGGUGUCAGGCGCCGACGCCCAAGGAGGCGCCACUCGGAAAGGAAGCCCCGGCAGGCAGGCGGGGGCUUGGCUCUGGCCACUCGGACCACCCAGGGCGGGGAACACCAGAAGCAGUCACGCUCCGCCCUCGGGCCAGACCCAGCCACUGGGCCCAGGGCCCCUUUAAGAGGAGGGGCUGUGGCCAGGGAACCAGCCCCGCCCAGUCACGGGAUUUCCCGGCGACACCUCCGGGGCCUGGGGGCCAUUCUUCCUCCUCACUCCAAACUGGGCAGUCCCAGGCUUCAACGUGUGGCUGACCUCACCCAGGGCCAGCUUCCUGGGACUGAACAGAAAGCCAGCUACCUUUUCUAGCCCUCAAAAAGGCAUCUAAGUCCUUGGCUCUUUCCCACACCCCACCUGGAAGGCACAGGAUGCCCCCACCUCCACACACCCCCCCCCUCCUCCAGGCAGACACACUCCUACCAUACAAAUCCCCUGCCACACAAAAUCUGGGAUAGACCCCCAAAGAGACCAGACUCAGUAAAAGCAAAGUUCCCCUCUG